UAUUCCACUUUCCGUCAAAAUGUUGUCAUGCUGCGGUGAUUGAAAAAUGUCUGUUCAUUAUCCGCUACCAAUAGCUUCACAUUGCGCGCAGUUCUUUUUGCGGUGAACGUUAGUUCUACAUUUUGGAUUGAUAUCAACAAUACUAUCUGGAGCAAAUCAUAAAUAUAAAAGUAAACAAAACAAGCAGGAUGUGCAAAGUUUAUGUUAAAUUUAGUCACGAUGCAGCAUCAUGUUUUUAAUUAGUUCCGAAACGAGUCUAGAUUGUCUCGCAGAGGUGGAUUGACAGUGGAGAGUGGAGCGUGAAUUAAAGAAUUGACUACCAAGAUGAAGAGGGGGCGCAAGGUUGCCGAACGUUUGUUCCGUCACGUGAAUCUGUUCUUGUAGGCGUUUUCAUGAGGUUUGAUUUGUUGAAAUAAAACGCAUUUUAGUUUAGAUUUUCCAA